UUUACAUUCGGUUGAAUUUGGGGGCUGCAAAUCCAACAGCUAUUUUUUCAUAUCCUGAAUUUUCCUUCGUAACUAGAGACAACAAUUUUCCGAGGAGGCGUUUCGUAACCUGAAUUUUUCGUGACUAUCGACGUUCGUAAGGAGUAUAGCUAAACGUCAGGUUUAUCUGCAUGCGCCCGGUUUUACUACAGCCACCUGGGUUUCUCUUGGACUGUGACUGCCAUGGCAAAUGUGAUCAUCUGAAGAGGUUGCAAGGCAUCUUGACAGCGAACAGCAGCGAACAGCAGCGUGAUGGAAGAUUCCAGUAAAGGCUCGACAGGCAGGCGAGGCUCGGUGUGGGCUUGAUGCGGUAAACUUCUUAAGAUGAUGCCAAGAAAGUUCUGGGUGGCAAAGAAGUUGUAACAGCUGGUAACGGCUCGCUGCUACACGUCCUGAAGAACUCUUUCACCUGUGGAAUUUGGAAGUCCUUGGAUUCUCCUGGUCUCUCAUUUGAGGAUGCAAUAAUUGCCUCUCCAGAGUUGCUAUUUGGAGGUGCACGCCGCGCCAACAACACGCGACUUUGAAGAUGCCAGAUCAGGAAGUCAAGAGAAGUGGGCGGAAUUUUGAUGAAAGAAAAGCCGUGGACCAGUGAAAAGGGUGAGAACUCCAACUGAAAUAACAUGGGGCACAAACAUUGUUUUGAGAGGUGGUUCGGAGGCACCGUUUUUUCAGUCAGGCGUGAACAUCCCGAGAAAAUGGAUGCAAUUGCCAAGUCGUCAUCCACCCUGCGCGUGAAGCCACGUGAAAGGCUCUUAAACCUGCUGACCCCGUGCCGGCCAAAUACUGUGGAAUCCCCCCUUUUACGUCUAUCCAAAUAACAAUAAUCCUUCAUCAUGUGUGUCCUUUUCUGUUGCUGGAAAGGUUCCAGGGAAAAUGAAGUAAAGGUGUCGACCACUUCUUUCACACAUGGAGGCACUUAUGUCCAUUCACACACUCUGUGCAAAUCUCUCUGCGGCACAUAGCAAAGAACACUGCUUUUGUAGGCCCAAGUUUUUCUUAAAAUUCACUUUUA